CGUGGGUACUACUCGUCUCUAU
rnacentral:miRNA from 1 species